AUUGAACGCUGGCGGCAGGCUUAACACAUGCAAGUCGAGCGGGGGAAGGUAGCUUGCUACCGGACCUAGCGGCGGACGGGUGAGUAAUGCUUAGGAAUCUGCCUAUUAGUGGGGGACAACAUCUCGAACGGGAUGCUAAUACCGCAUACGUUCUACGGGAGAAAGCAGGGGAUCUUCGGACCUUGCGCUAAUAGAUGAGCCUAAGUCGGAUUAGCUAGUUGGUGGGGUAAAGGCCUACCAAGGCGACGAUCUGUAGCGGGUCUGGGAAGAUGGUCGGCCACGCUGGGACUGAGACACGGCCCAGAGUCCUCCGGGAGGCAGCAGUGGGGAAUAUUGGACAAUGGGGAGAACCCUGAUCCAGCCAUGCCGCGUGUGUGAAGAAGGCCUUAUGGUUGUAAAGCACUUUAAGCGAGGAGGAGGCUACUUUAGUUAAUACCUAGAGAUAGUGGACGUUACUCGCAGAAUAAGCACCGGCUAACUCUGUGCCAGCCGCCGCAGUAA
rnacentral:rRNA from 1 species